CACAAGCGGUGAUGAUGAUGACUUCAUGUCGCAGUCCUGAAAAUUCAUGUGGGUCUUUAAGUCACUACCUCAUCUGAGCUUUAU